CCGAGCGAAGAUGAAUGAAGACCUGCUGAAAACUGGAGACCUCAGUCUGACCCUCAAAUACCCCACAGACUGGGACAACUGGACCUACACCUGCACCGUCUACAGCAGGGAGCGAAACAUCCUGCUGAAGGAACAAGUGGAGCUGAAAGUCAGAGUCUGUCAGGUGGAGGUGGAGGAGGGGGCGGAGUCUGUCCAGCUGCCCUUCAAAACCACACAAAACCUGCCUGAAGAUGCUGGAGUGGAGUGGGUACAUAAAGAACCUGAAUACAGGAAGGUCCACGUGUAUGAGAACGGCUCUGACCAGCCUGAAGAACAGCACCAGGUUUACAGAGACCGAACGAAGAUGAAUGAAGACCUGCUGAAAACUGGAGACCUCAGUCUGACCCUGAAACACCCCACAGAGAGAGACAGUGGGAGAUAUGAAUGUGAUGUGAGGAGGAACGGACGGGUUAGAUUCAAAACAGUGCAGCUCAACGUCAAAGGGAGAGUUCAGGUCCAGGAUCAAACAGGGGACAUCAGGAACAGAAGCAGCUCCAUUGAUCCGACUCCUCUGAUGGCUGAUCAAUCAGUUUGAUCUGUGUGUUCUUUGAUUAUUGAUCAGUGAUGUCAGACUGGAGUCAGUGUGAUGUUGUUGUUGUGUGUUUGAGACUUUUAGUGUCCAUGAAGGUCUCUGCUGCCGUAGAUCCUCUGAACUGUGACAGAGGUCUCACUCUGGAGGAAACUCUCAGCACUUUCCAGCAGCUCCUCCAUCAUGGAGGACGUUCCCUCACUGUAACAGGUGGAGGAGAGAGGAGAGGAAGCACAGG
ensembl:lncRNA